GGGAGUCAUUCCCCGGCGGCCGGGAGGCCGACUUCUGACCUUGCUCCCUACGGCCUUCCCCGCGGCGUCGACUUGUGGGAUGUGCCAACAUAACCUUUGUUGGCCACCAGAGCCCGGCAAUCAAGAAGCAUCCUCUGGGUGGCAGAUGCAAAAACCAUUGUGCCAGACAUGCGCACAAACUCCAUUUGCUCUUCAAGCUGAAGCUAUUAAGACAUUUUAAUUUAAAAAUGCUUGCUGGCUGGUGAUGCAAUCUUCAACAGAGAUCAGUGUUUUCAUGAGCACAGCAUUCACUGGAAAACAAUUUUCCAAUAUCUGCAUAAUGGAAGCCAAGUUUCUGACAGGGAAGAAAACCUGCAGGAGUGGACCAGGCUGCCCCCAAAA